rnacentral:rRNA from 1 species
UGGGGAAUAUUGGGCAAUGGAGGCAACUCUGACCCAGCAACGCCGCGUGAAUGAUGAAGGUCUUCGGAUUGUAAAGUUCUUUUCUAAGGGACGAAGAAAGUGACGGUACCUUAGGAAUAAGCCUCGGCUAACUACGUGCCAGCAGCCGCGGUAAUACGUAGGAGGCAAGCGUUAUCCGGAAUGACUGGGCGUAAAGGGUGCGUAGGUGGUUUGGCAAGUUAGUAGCGUAAGCCCGGGGCUCAACUUCGGGACUACUACUAAAACUGUCGGACUUGAGUGCAGAAGGGGCAAACGGAAUUCCUGGUGUAGCGGUGGAAUGCGUAGAUAUCAGGAAGAACACCGGUAGCGAAGGCGGUUUGCUGGGCUGUAACUGACACUGAGGCACGAAAGCGUGGGGAGC